CGCAUCUGUGCAUGCAGCAUAUCAAUAAGCGGAGGAAAAGAAACUAACAAGGAUUCCCCUAGUAACGGCGAGUGAAGCGGGAAGAGCUCAAAUUUGAAAUCUUAAAGGGUUUCCCUUUACGAAUUGUAGUUUAAAGAAGUGUUUUCUGUUGAGGUUUUGGUAAAAGUUCUUUGGAAUAGGACAUCAUAGAGGGUGAGAAUCCCGUAUUUGACCCUUACUUUCAACUUUGUGAUACACUUUCAAAGAGUCGGAUUGUUUGGGAAUGCAGUCCAAAAUGGGUGGUAAAUUUCAUCUAAAGCUAAAUAUUGGCGAGAGACCGAUAGCGAACAAGUACCGUGAGGGAAAGAUGAAAAGAACUUUGAAAAGAGAGUUAAACAGUACGUGAAAUUGUCAAAAGGGAAGCGUUUGACACCAGUGUUGUUUUUCUGAAAAUCAAUUAAAGAACUGUUUAUGCUAAGCUGUUUAGACUUUAUCAGCUAAUCUGUUUAGUUUUGAGCUUUUCUUUAAUGCACUUUUCAGUUAACAAGUCAACAUCAAUUUCUUUUGCUGUAAAAAAGCUUGAGGAAGGUGGCUUGAGAUUCGUCUUAAGUGUUUAUAGCCUCUUGCCUAUGCAGUCGGAGAGAUUGAGGUCUGCAGCGUAGAUCCUUCGGGGCUAAAUGCAUUUGUGCUAAGUUAUAGCAUUUUAUAGACAACUUGUUGACUAUGAUUUGUCUUGUAGCUUACUCGCUUAUGUUAUUUUACCUACGCUUAGGAUGUUGACGAGACUGUCGAUCUC
rnacentral:rRNA from 1 species